rnacentral:rRNA from 1 species
GACGAACGCUUGCGGCGUGCUUAACACAUGCAAGUCGAACGGAAAGGCCCUGCUUUUGUGGGGUGCUCGAGUGGCGAACGGGUGAGUAACACGUGAGUAACCUGCCCUUGACUUUGGGAUAACUUCAGGAAACUGAGGCUAAUACCGGAUAGGAGCUCCUGCUGCAUGGUGGGGGUUGGAAAGUUUCGGCGGAUGGGGAUGGACUCGCGGCUUAUCAGCUUGUUGGUGGGGUAGUGGCUUACCAAGGCCUUGACGGGUAGCCGGCCUGAGAGGGUGACCGGCCACAUUGGGACUGAGAUACGGCCCAGACUCCUACGGGAGGCAGCAGUGGGGAAUAUUGCACAAUGGGCGGAAGCCUGAUGCAGCAACGCCGCGUGCGGGAUGACGGCCUUCGGGUUGUAAACCGCUUUCGCCUGUGACGAAGCGUGAGUGACGGUAAUGGGUAAAGAAGCACCGGCUAACUACGUGCCAGCAGCCGCGGUGAUACGUAGGGUGCGAGCGUUGUCCGGAUUUAUUGGGCGUAAAGGGCUCGUAGGUGGUUGAUCGCGUCGGAAGUGUAAUCUUGGGGCUUAACCCUGAGCGUGCUUUCGAUACGGGUUGACUUGAGGAAGGUAGGGGAGAAUGGAAUUCCUGGUGGAGCGGUGGAAUGCGCAGAUAUCAGGAGGAACACCAGUGGCGAAGGCGGUUCUCUGGGCCUUUCCUGACGCUGAGGAGCGAAAGCGUGGGGAGCGAACAGGCUUAGAUACCCUGGUAGUCCACGCUGUAAACGGUGGGUACUAGGUGUGGGGUCCAUUCCACGGGUUCCGUGCCGUAGCUAACGCUUUAAGUACCCCGCCUGGGGAGUACGGCCGCAAGGCUAAAACUCAAAGGAAUUGACGGGGCCCCGCACAAGCGGCGGAGCAUGCGGAUUAAUUCGAUGCAACGCGUAGAACCUUACCUGGGUUUGACAUGGAUCGGGAGUGCUCAGAGAUGGGUGUGCCUCUUUUGGGGUCGGUUCACAGGUGGUGCAUGGCUGUCGUCAGCUCGUGUCGUGAGAUGUUGGGUUAAGUCCCGCAACGAGCGCAACCCUUGUUCACUGUUGCCAGCACGUUAUGGUGGGGACUCAGUGGAGACCGCCGGGGUCAACUCGGAGGAAGGUGGGGAUGACGUCAAGUCAUCAUGCCCCUUAUGUCCAGGGCUUCACGCAUGCUACAAUGGCUGGUACAGAGAGUGGCGAGCCUGUGAGGGUGAGCGAAUCUCGGAAAGCCGGUCUCAGUUCGGAUUGGGGUCUGCAACUCGACCUCAUGAGGUCGGAGUCGCUAGUAAUCGCAGAUCAGCAACGCUGCGGUGAAUACGUUCCCGGGGCU